rnacentral:rRNA from 1 species
GACGAGCGCUGGCGGCGUGCUUAACACAUGCAAGUCGAACGGAAAGGCCCUGCUUUUGUGGGGUACUCGAGUGGCGAACGGGUGAGUAACACGUGAGUAACCUGCCCUUGACUUUGGGAUAACUUCAGGAAACUGGGGCUAAUACCGGAUAGGAGCUCCUGCUGCAUGGUGGGGGUUGGAAAGUUUCGGCGGUUGGGGAUGGACUCGCGGCUUAUCAGCUUGUUGGUGGGGUAGUGGCUUACCAAGGCUUUGACGGGUAGCCGGCCUGAGAGGGUGACCGGCCACAUUGGGACUGAGAUACGGCCCAGACUCCUACGGGAGGCAGCAGUGGGGAAUAUUGCACAAUGGGUGGAAGCCUGAUGCAGCAACGCCGUGUGCGGGAUGACGGCCUUCGGGUUGUAAACCGCUUUCGCUCAUGACGAAGCUUUGUGUGACGGUAGUGGGUAAAGAAGCACCGGCUAACUACGUG